AUUGAACGCUGGCGGCAUGCCUUACACAUGCAAGUCGAACGGCAGCACGGGGCAACCUGGUGGCGAGUGGCGAACGGGUGAGUAAUGCAUCGGAACGUACCUUUCAGUGGGGGAUAACGUAGCGAAAGUUACGCUAAUACCGCAUAUUCUGUGAGCAGGAAAGCAGGGGAUCGCAAGACCUUGCGCUGAUUGAGCGGCCGAUGUCAGAUUAGCUAGCCGGUGAGGUAAAGGCUCACCAAGGCGACGAUCUGUAGCGGGUCUGAGAGGAUGAUCGGCAGCACUGGAACUGGGACACGGGCCAGACUCCCACGGGAGCCAGCAGGGGGUAAUUUUGGACAAUGGGGGCAACCCUGAUGCAGCCAUGCCGCGUGGGUGAAGAAGGCCUUCGGGUUGUAAAGCUCUUUCGGCCGGAAAGAAAUCGCACGGGCUAAUACCCUGUGUGGAUGACGGUACCGGAAUAAGAAGCACCGGCUAACUACGUGCCAGCAGCCGCCGUAA
rnacentral:rRNA from 1 species